rnacentral:rRNA from 1 species
GCGCAAUGGGCGAAAGCCUGACGCAGCAACGCCGCGUGGGGGAUGACGGCCUUCGGGUUGUAAACCUCUUUCGACAUCGACGAAGGGCCUUUUUCGGGUUCUGACGGUAGGUGUAGAAGAAGCACUGGCUAACUACGUGCCAGCAGCCGCGGUAAUACGUAGGGUGCGAGCGUUGUCCGGAUUUAUUGGGCGUAAAGAGCUCGUAGGCGGUUUGUCGCGUCGGCCGUGAAAACCUGCCGCUUAACGGUGGGCGUGCGGUCGAUACGGGCAGACUUGAGUUCGGCAGGGGAGACUGGAAUUCCUGGUGUAGCGGUGAAAUGCGCAGAUAUCAGGAGGAACACCGGUGGCGAAGGCGGGUCUCUGGGCCGAUACUGACGCUGAGGAGCGAAAGCGUGGGGAGCGAACAGGAUUAGAUACCCUGGUAGUCCACGCCGUAAACGUUGGGCGCUAGGUGUGGGGACUGUUUCCACGGUUUCCGUGCCGUAGCUAACGCAUUAAGCGCCCCGCCUGGGGAGUACGGCCGUAAGGCU